AUUGAACGCUGGCGGCAGGCCUAACACAUGCAAGUCGAACGAGUGGCGGACGGGUGAGUAAUGUCUGGGAAACUGCCUGAUGGAGGGGGAUAACUACUGGAAACGGUAGCUAAUACCGAAUACCAUCAGAUGUGCCCAGAUGGGAUUAGCUUGUUGGUGGGGGAACGGCUCACCAAGGCGACGAUCCCUAGCUGGUCUGGGAGGAUGACCCGCCACACUGGAAAUUAGACACGGUCCCGACGCCUAGGGUGGGCAGUAGUGGGGAAUGUGUGACAAAGGGGGGAAACCUGAUGCAGCCAGGCCGGGUGUAUGAAAAAGGCCCUCGGGGUGUAAAGUACGUUCAGCGGGGAGGCGUUACCCGCAGAAGAAGCACCGGCUAACUCCGUGCCAGCAGCCGCGGUAAUUC
rnacentral:rRNA from 1 species